rnacentral:rRNA from 1 species
GAUGAACGCUGGCGGCGUGCUUAACACAUGCAAGUCGAACGAUGAAACCUAGCUUGCUAGGUCGAGUAGUGGCGAACGGGUGAGUAACACGUGACUAACCUGCCCCUUUCUCUGGGAUAACGCUCAGAAAGGAGGGCUAAUACCGGAUAUUCACAUCGAGGAAGAUGCCUUGGUUUGGAAAGUGUUUCGGAAAGGGAUGGAGUGGCGGACUAUCGGCUUGUUGGUGAGGUAAGGGCUCACCAAGGCGACGACGGGUGGCCGGCCUGAGAGGGCGACCAGCGACCCUGGGAGUGAGACACGGCCCAGAUUCCUACGGGAGGCAGCAGUUGGGAAUAUUGCACAAGGGGCGCAAGCCUGAUGCAGCGACGCCGCGUGAGGGAUGAAGGUCUUCGGAUUGUAAACCACUUUCAGUAGGGACGAAGCGAAAGUGACGGUACCUAAAGAAGAAGCACCGGCUAACUACGUGCCAGCCGCCGCCGUAAGAC